rnacentral:misc_RNA from 1 species
UCUAUUUGUCACUCAUUUAUUACUUAAUGAGCGUAGAGUAUUAACGCUUUGUUCUAUUUGAACUUACAGGUAAAUACUGUGACAAAAAUCCAGUACUGUGAUAAGUAGUUAACAAUUUUGAAAAUGAUGAAAUGCGAUAAUUGUACAAUUCUAAUUUUAAAGAUGUGAUGGACCAAAACAAUCAAUAUGUCGAAGAAAGUGAACAAAAUUCCACCAGAUGGAGGUUACGGGUGGGUUGUGACAUUUGCAUAUGCUCUUAACAAUGUUGUGGUACUCCCACUUAUUGCUGGAUUCGCGUUAGUAUUUCAAGAGGCUUUUGCUGAAACGAAUUUGACAGCUACUCAAGGAUCUCUAGUCAUAAUUCUCAACCAUGGAAUGGGAAUGUUACUUUCAUUUUUCGCCGGCCCCGUGUUACAACGCUUCGGGUACAGAAAAGUUGCAGUCACUGGAGCCCUUUUUAUAUCGGCCGGAUUAAUGUUGACCUCAGUCUCAUCUAGUUUCUGGCUAUUCAUAUUAUCCUACAGUAUUAUUAAUUCUAUAGGUAUUGCUGCAGUAAUGGCGGCUUUCUCUUUAGCAAUUAAUUCAUUUUUCAAAGAAAAAAGAGGAAGGGCUAUUGGAGCAGGCAUGUCAAUUACUGGCUUGGGAAGUAUAUUUAUGCCAUUGUUGAUGAGCACCCUCAUUUACGCAUAUGGCUGGAGGUAUGCUGUACUUAUACUUAGUGCCAUUUGUUUGCACUCAUUAGUAGGAGCAUGUUUACUUAGACCAGCGAAAUGGUAUCUAAAGGAUCCACCAGCACCUGAAGAAGAGAUGAUGCCAUUGAACAAAGACAUAUGCAUAGAACUAGUCAACGAUAGCAUUACAACGUCCUCAAAACAAACUGGUAAUAAUACGUUAUUACCUCAAUUAGAAGAAUCAUCAUCUCCGUCUAUAGAAAAUGGUUUGCCGCAACCUAAAAGUUUAUCAAUGAGGUCUUUGAAAAGCAGUACAAGUCUGGAAUCGAGAAAUGCUAUAUCACAUCCAGAUAUAAGCAAAAAUUCUCCUGAACCACCAUUAUCUGAUUCACGAUACAAAUGGUGGGAAUCUCAAGAAAUAAAUUUAGGCAGUUCUAUAAAUAUUUUUAAUGAAACGAAACCUGAUAAACAAACAAAUGAAUAUAAUCUUAGAACAACAGAAGAAGUAGAAGAACCGAAAACAUUCUUUGAAAAAUUUGUUCAAUUCUUUGAUUUAACGUUAUUAAGUGAUCCAGUAUUUGUAAACAUUUUGAUUGGUCUCUCUGUGGCUGGAUGUGUAGAAACCAAUUUUUCUCUAUUACUGCCAAUAAUUCUUAAGGAUUUGUUACAAUUUAACACAGGAGAAAUUGCCCAGAUUAUGGCGGUCAUCGGUUUUUCUGACACCUUGUUUCGUUUCGUAUCUCCAUUCAUUGGAGAAUGGUGUAAUAAACCACCAAGGGUCAUGUAUAUUGUCGGUUUACUACUUAUCAUCUUCGUUAGAACGAGUAAUAAUGCUGUUCACAACAUCCUUUGUCGGCAUGUUGUUUGUGGCUUUAGGCAUGGGCAUCACCAAAGGUCUUCGAACAGUUUACAUGAACAUUGUGAUACCAAGCUACGUGCCCAUUGAGCGACUAGCUUUCGCCUCCGGUAUACAGAUGUUCGUCAAUGGAAUAAUCAUCAUCCUCCUUGGAUCUAUUCUAGGUAAAGUGCGAGAGAUGUCGGGAUCCUAUCAAAUACCGAUAGUAGUACUAAAUCUUAUCACAUUAGUUACAGUAUUUCUUUGGAUAACAGAAUUUCUUUAUUUUCGAAUGAAAAAUAAUAGCUCUGAAUAAUCAGCAAUGAGCUUUUGAACAUCUUUAGAAUUUGAGAUAUGUUCACAUGUGUAGCUAUUAUUUUUUAUUUGAAAAU